rnacentral:misc_RNA from 1 species
CCGAGUUAGGGUUGUCCAACAGCCCGACCUCCCAACCCUGUGUCUACUGUACCUUGUUGCUUCGGCGGACCGGUUGACCAACCGGUCUUGACCGCCGGGACCCCGUGCCCUGGAGAGCGUCCGCCGAUGGCCCAACCACAAAACUCUUGUCCCGAAAAUUGUCGUCUGAAUUAGUUGAUCAAUCAAAAACA